ensembl:lncRNA
CUUAAGAAGAAAAUGGAAGUUACAGAAUAUGUAAAGAUGAAUGGAUGCAGAAGCAUUACUUUAUAAAGUCUGUGGUUUAUAUGAAUCAUCAAAUUGCUACCCAGAAUGAAAUGUGUAGCCUUACAUAUACAGAAAAUAAGGAUGUUGAAAAUAAGCACACUUUCAAAUCAAAAUUUAACCUCUCAGUCCAGCAAUCAAUCAAACAAAAACAGGAAAAUAAACAUGAAAGAGAAUGGAAAAAUAUAAAAAGUGUAAUGGUAGGAAAUAAUGCAAUAGAAAAUGAUAGAAGCAGUGAACUUGAGAAAGUUCUUUUACAUUGGGAUCUCAACUGCCUAUUCUCUGAUUUGGAUACUUAUUUUCCAGCCCAAGGAAUAAGUGUUAUGGACAUUGAAUUAACAGACAGAAGGAAGAGCAGGAAAUCUGUGAUUACUUCUGUCUGGGAUACUGCAGAGGGGAGAAGAAGAAAUAACAUUUACAAAGAUAUAUGUCAAACAUUAUGCUGAGGUUAGCUGUAUAAAAAGAAUGGGACGUCUGAAAUGACUGGAGACGGAGGAGCAAUGCAGUAGAAGUGGUCCUGCUUGGAGGCUGAGGUCUGAAUGAGACUGGAAGCAAAAGUGCAGAAAGGGAAGUGGGAAGAUGCCAAUGAUAAAGUCUGACUAUUUCAAAAUUCUGGCUAGGGUCAGCCCCACCCACAAGAAGAGCAAGACAGGUUCUUCCUCUUUCCUUCUCUUGCACAAAUCAGUCCCUAUUUCUGGGACCAAGAGGUCCAGGUCCAGGGGCUGCUCUAUGGAAAACAGAGUCACAAGGAACUUUAGAAGCUAUGCAUGCUACUCCCCAACAGGCCUCCCCUAUACCUAUACAGUACCCCAAACUAUUUCUGACAUCCUUGCUGGAGGAGAGUGAUAGAAACUUGCUCCUCAGAGGACAGCUCAUAACCAUUUCGAACUUGAGCUAAUUGUUAGAAAAGCCUUCCUAUCACCAGCAAAAGUCUUGUCUCCCUUCAGUUUCCCCUUAUUGGUCCUACUUCUGUCCUCUGAAAUUGCCCAGUCUGUGUGAUAUUUGUUCAGAUGGAAUUUGAUCUGUCAUGCAGUGUUGUUUUUGGCUGAUUUGCUAAGUUGAUUAGAUUCCUCUAUAAACUCAAAGCUUUUGGAUCAAGGUAAAUCUGGUAAAAAUGUUCUAGCAAUUAUGUUUCAGAAAGACUGCCAUAGUUUUCUUAAAAUAAGGAUGCUCCCGAUUUACAGAUUCGUAAUGUGAGAACAGUCUUAUGUGCAAAUCCAUAGACUAACCCACAUAAAGCAUUCACAUAAAAAAGAAUCAAUCAGUGUAUUUUUCCUGUUGAUUGACACUAUGUGAAAGCUACUUCUGUUCAUUUGUGGUAAAGUUACUAGAUAUUGAGAAGAGGAACUGAUCUAAUUAAUCAACUUGGGAAAAUGUUCCACUUUUAAGUGAACAAUUAAAAUGAUAAUGAAGUACCUUUUUACUUCUGUUUGUUUAGCUACAAAACAAAGCAAC